UUUAUGGAGAGUUUGAUCCUGGCUCAGGAUGAACGCUGGCGGCGUGCCUAAUACAUGCAAGUCGAGCGAACGGACGAGAAGCUUGCUUCUCUGAUGUUAGCGGCGGACGGGUGAGUAACACGUGGAUAACCUACCUAUAAGACUGGGAUAACUUCGGGAAACCGGAGCUAAUACCGGAUAAUAUUUUGAACCGCAUGGUUCAAAAGUGAAAGACGGUCUUGCUGUCACUUAUAGAUGGAUCCGCGCUGCAUUAGCUAGUUGGUAAGGUAACGGCUUACCAAGGCAACGAUGCAUAGCCGACCUGAGAGGGUGAUCGGCCACACUGGAACUGAGACACGGUCCAGACUCCUACGGGAGGCAGCAGUAGGGAAUCUUCCGCAAUGGGCGAAAGCCUGACGGAGCAACGCCGCGUGAGUGAUGAAGGUCUUCGGAUCGUAAAACUCUGUUAUUAGGGAAGAACAUAUGUGUAAGUAACUGUGCACAUCUUGACGGUACCUAAUCAGAAAGCCACGGCUAACUACGUGCCAGCAGCCGCGGUAAUACGUAGGUGGCAAGCGUUAUCCGGAAUUAUUGGGCGUAAAGC
rnacentral:rRNA from 1 species